ACGAAGGGGGCUAGCGUUGUUCGGAAUUACUGGGCGUAAAGCGCACGUAGGCGGAUCGUUAAGUCGGGGGUGAAAUCCUGGGGCUCAACCUCAGAACUGCCUUCGAUACUGGCGAUCUCGAGUCCGGGAGAGGUGAGUGGAAUUCCGAGUGUAGAGGUGAAAUUCGUAGAUAUUCGGAGGAACACCAGUGGCGAAGGCGGCUCACUGGCCCGGUACUGACGCUGAGGUGCGAAAGCGUGGGGAGCAAACAG
rnacentral:rRNA from 1 species